rnacentral:rRNA from 1 species
AGUGAACGCUGGCGGUAGGCCUAACACAUGCAGGUCGAACGGCAGCACAGUAAGAGCUUGCUCUUACGGGUGGCGAGUGGCGGACGGGUGAGGAAUACAUCGGAAUCUACUUUUUCGUGGGGGAUAACGUAGGGAAACUUACGCUAAUACCGCAUACGACCUACGGGUGAAAGCAGGGGAUCUUCGGACCUUGCGCGAUUGAAUGAGCCGAUGUCGGAUUAGCUAGUUGGCGGGGUAAAGGCCCACCAAGGCGACGAUCCGUAGCUGGUCUGAGAGGAUGAUAAGCAAAACUGGAACUGAGACACGGUCAAAACUCCUACGGGAGGCAGCAGUGGGGAAUAUUGGACAAUGGGCGAAAGCCUGAUCCAGCCAUACCGCGUGGGUGAAGAAGGCCUUCGGGUUGUAAAGCCCUUUUGUUGGGAAAGAAAAGCAGCAGGUUAAUACCCCGCUGUUCUGACGGUACCCAAAGAAUAAGCACCGGCUAACUGCGU